GAUGAAGAACGUAGCGAAAUGCGAUACUUGGUGUGAAUUGCAGAAUCCCGUGAACCAUCGAGUCUUUGAACGCAAGUUGCGCCUCAAGCCAUUAGGUUGAGGGCACGUCUGCCUGGGCGUCACAUAUCGUUGCCUGAUGCCAGUUUCCUCGUGAUGGGUGACUGUGCAGGGCGAAUGAUGGCUUCCCGUGAGCAUUGUUGCCUCAUGGUUGGUUGAAAAUUGAGUCCUUGGUAGGGAGCGCCGUGAUAGAUGGUGGUUGAGUGACGAACGAGACCCAAUCAUGUGAGACCCCCACCGAAUUUGGCCUUCAUGACCCACAUGCGUCUUUGGAACGCUCAUGACGAGACCUCAGGUCAGGCGGGGCUACCCGCUGAGUUUAAGCAUAUCAAUAAGCGGAGGA
rnacentral:misc_RNA from 1 species